UUGUAAUGAAAACUUGCUUGUGAACAUAAAAUUGCGAUUAAAAGAUUAUUUUAAUAUCAGAGAAAUGAAAUUGCCGGGAUUAGAAUUCAAAUAUCUAUUCAUAUGCAUUUCCUUGACCUGUUAUACAUAUUUGAGUUACCAACCAAUUUUAUCACGUAUUGCUCUUCGUACGUUUCCGUUCCCAGAUAACGACGAGAAACUAUUACAUCGAUCAAUCCCCGAUCCCUCGGGUGAUUAAUUGAUACAAUAUCUUUUAAACACCAAUACUUUAAUUGAUUAUUAAAUCUAAAUCUAUUCCUAGAGUUUAGAUUCAAUAUAUAUUAUCCUAAUUCAUUGAUUCAAAACAUAUAUUCCUAUACUAUUUCAAAUCCAAAGAAUAAAACAUUAAAAGCAAGGAUAAUAUCAAGAUUGAUUGAAUCACCAAAACAUGUAUAACACAAGAUCAAGAUAAAUACAUAUUCAUAGACUAUUUUACAUCUAAUCCCAACAACAAGAGAGUUUAGUUACCCAUUGACAUAGUAACUUUACAAAGAUGAAAUAAAUUGAGAUGAACAAACAUCAUGAGUUGAUUCCUCAACAAAGAUGAGCAAAUCCACCUUCAAGUUGCUUAAACCUAGCUCCUAAGAUGUUUUUCCUCUAUUUUUAGAAGUAUUACAAGUUAUCAGAUCCAUUUUUCUGCUUUUGGUGUCCUUUUAUAGUGAACAAGAUUUUUAAGCUGGCUCUGCCAGCUACCUUACUUCAUAGCUGGGUUUGCUAACACGUGUCCUCUGAGUCACCUCCCAGCUCUUCUGGCUUUCUCUGGCUGGAGCCAAAAACUCACUGUCAAUUCAACAAGACUUGUAGCUUUAUCUGGCUUAAGCCAGAAACUCUCUGUCAAUUCAAUAGGAUUUUUGGCUUUCUCUGGCUUUCUCUAGCCCAGCGAGCAUCUUCAAGAUCAAACAUUAAUUCUUCAUCAAAAAUUCAACUUUAAUUACAAAAACUUGUCAAAAUGAUUGAGAUUUAAGAUAUACUAACCAAAUUUAGAUCAAAACAUAUAUGUACAAUUCUUGGGGACUUAUAUACACAAAUCUUGCAAAACAAGUUAAUAAU
rnacentral:lncRNA from 1 species